UACAGAGGUCUCAAGCGUUGUUCGGAUUCAUUGGGCGUAAAGGGUGCGCAGGUGGUCGGGUAAGUCUGACGUGAAAUCCCGCAGCUUAACUGCGGAAUGGCGUUGGAUACUAUUCGGCUAGGGGGUUGGAGGGGGGACUGGAAUUCUCGGUGUAGCAGUGAAAUGCGUAGAUAUCGAGAGGAACACCAGUGGCGAAGGCGAGUCCCUGGACAACUCCUGACGCUGAGGCACGAAAGCUAGGGGAGCAAACAGG
rnacentral:rRNA from 1 species